UACGGGGGGAGCAAGCGUUGUUCGGAUUUACUGGGCGUAAAGGGCGCGUAGGCGGCCAGCACAAGUCAGUUGUGAAAUCUCCGAGCUUAACUCGGAACUGUCAGCUGAUACUGUUUUGCUAGAGUGCGGAAGGGGCAAUCGGAAUUCUUGGUGUAGCGGUGAAAUGCGUAGAUAUCAAGAGGAACACCUGAGGUGAAGACGGGUUGCUGGGCCGACACUGACGCUGAGUGCGCGAAAGCCAGGGGAGCAAACGGG
rnacentral:rRNA from 1 species